CCUACGGGGGGCAGCAGUAGGGAAUCUUCCACAAUGGGCGAAAGCCUGCUGGAGCAACGCCGCGUGGGUGAAGAAGGUCUUCGGAUCGUAAAACCCUGUUGUUAGAGAAGAAAGUGCGUGAGAGUAACUGUUCACGUUUCGACGGUACCUACCCAGCAAGCCACGGCUAACUACGUGCCAGCAGCCGCGGUAAUACGUAGGUGGCAAGCGUUAUCCGGACUUAUUGGGCGUAAAGGGAACGCAGGCAGUCUUUUAAGUCUGAUGUGAAAGCCUUCGGCUUAACCGGGGUAGUGCAUUGGAAACUGGGAGACUUGAGUGCAGAAGAGGAGAGUGGAACUCCAUGUGUAGCGGUGAAAUGCAGAGAUAUCACGCAGAACUCCGGUUGCGAAGGCAGCCUACCGGCGCUCAACUGACGCUGAGGCACGAAAGCGUGGGGAUCGAACAGGAUUAGAUACCCUUGUAGUC
rnacentral:rRNA from 1 species